rnacentral:rRNA from 1 species
CGGUACAGUCGGUGACAGGUGGUGCAUGGUUGUCGUCAGCUCGUGUCGUGAGAUGUUGGGUUAAGUCCCGCAACGAGCGCAACCCCUAUUGUUAGUUGCCAUCAUUCAGUUUGGGCACUCUAGCGAGACUGCCGGUAAUAAACCGGAGGAAGUGGGAUGACGUCAAUCAUCAUGCCCCUUAUGACCUGGGCUACACACGUGCUACAAUGGUUGGUACAACGAGUUGCGAGUCGGUGACGGCGAGCUAAAUCUCUUAAAGCCAAUCUCAGUUCGGAUUGUAGGCUGCAACUCGCCUACAUGAAGUCGGAAUCGCUAGUAAUCGCGGAUCAGCACGCCGCGGUGAAUACGUUCCCGGGCCUU